rnacentral:lncRNA from 1 species
UUCAUUCCAAUAAUUGAUACAGUACAUCACAUGCAAAUACAAAUUCAACAUAGCUAAAAACAAAAAGGAUGAAACUGCAAACAAUCUCACAGCAUCCAUGUUAAUAGCAUACAACGGCAAUUGCAAUAUGNAAUGACGACCACCAACAAAGCGCCGCACUCAGACGACGAAAUCACAAAACAAGAAAAACAAAACUAAAAAACUUAAUUUAUGUGAAAUCACUUAUUUAAAUGGAAAGAAAAUAAAAAAACAACUUAG